rnacentral:ncRNA from 1 species
GCUAUGGAGUAUGAUACCAAACGCUAGUAGCUAGUGAGUAAUCACAGCGAGAGCGCAUACGAUGAAAUAGCAA